rnacentral:rRNA from 1 species
AGAGUUUGAUCAUGGCUCAGAAUCAACGCUGGCGGCGCGCUUAACACAUGCAAGUCGCACGAGAAAGGGAGCAAUCCUAAGUAAAGUGGCGCACGGGUGAGUAACACGUGGAUCAUCUACCUUUUAGUGGGGAAUACCUCUGGGAAACCGGAGACAAUACCGCAUAAGCCCGCAAGGGGAAAGCAGCAAUGCGCUGAAAGAGGAGUCCGCGGCCGAUUAGCUAGUUGGCGGGGUAACGGCCCACCAAGGCGAAGAUCGGUAGCCGGCCUGAGAGGGCACACGGCCACACUGGCACUGAAACACGGGCCAGACUCCUACGGGAGGCAGCAGUGGGGAAUCUUGCACAAUGGGCGAAAGCCUGAUGCAGCGACGCCGCGUGAGCGAUGAAGCCCUUCGGGGUGUAAAGCUCUUUCGACGGGAACGAUAAUGACGGUACCCGGAGAAGAAGCUGCGGCUAACUACGUGCCAGCAGCCGCGGUAAUACGUAGGCAGCGAGCGUUGUUCGGAAUUACUGGGCGUAAAGAGUGUGUAGGCGGUGUUCCCAGUCUGUUGUGAAAUCUCCCGGCUUAACUGGGAGGGUGCAGCGGAAACUAGAAUGCUAGAGGGUGGGAGAGGUAAGCGGAAUUCCUGGUGUAGCGGUGAAAUGCGUAGAUAUCAGGAGGAACACCUGGUGUAGACAGCUUACUGGACCACUUCUGACGCUGAGACACGAAAGCGUGGGUAGCAAACAGGAUUAGAUACCCUAGUAGUCC